rnacentral:rRNA from 1 species
UAUUGCGCAAUGGGCGAAAGCCUGACGCAGCAACGCCGCGUGAGGGAUGAAGGCCUUCGGGUUGUAAACCUCUUUCAGCAGGGAAGAAGCGAAAGUGACGGCACCUGCACAAGAAGCACCGGCUAACUACGUGCCAGCAGCCGCGGUAAUACGUAGGGUGCAAGCGUUGUCCGGAUUUAUUGGGCGUAAAGAGCUCGUAGGCGGUUAGUCACGUCGGAUGUGAAACCCCGAGGCUUAACCUCGGGCCUGCAUUCGAUACGGGCUGACUAGAGUGUUGUAGGGGAGACUGGAACUCCUGGUGUAGCGGUGAAAUGCGCAGAUAUCAGGAAGAACACCGGUGGCGAAGGCGGGUCUCUGGGCAACUACUGACGCUGAGAGCGAGA